AUGGAGAGGUGCUGCACCUGCGGGGGGCACGGAGAGGUGCCGCCCCCGGGGGAGCACGGACAGGUGCUGCACCUGCAGGGAGCAUGCAGAGGUGCCGCCCCCGGGGGAGCACGGAGAGGCCACAUCCGCGGGGCGCGGCGGCAAGUGUCGCACCCACCGGGCAGGGGCAGGGGCAGGUGCCGCACCCACAGGCAGCCGCGGUCGGGACCAGGUGGUGGGCGGGGCGCACCUGGCGGGCGCCCCUGGGCCGCGGGGAAGGAGGCCCAGUCUCAGAAGCCAGGUAAACAAACAGGGCCCGGCCGCCUGUCCCCGUCGGCCCCUUUGCUCCCAGCCGCCCCCGUGUGGCCCAGGCUCGGGAACUACCCCUCUCCCCCGGCCCCCCGCCCCCCUGAACCCCCGCCCCCCGCCCCCCUGCGCCCCACCGCCCCCCGCAGCUGGCCCCUUCGCUCCUGCUCUUGCGGAUCCAAGAAGAGCCCCCCGGGAGCCAAAGAUGGACCAGGCCGUCGGCUUCCCCCUGCAGCCCUGCUCGCUCCCCCCCCCCCCCUUACCCACGCGGGAGCCUCCGAUCCACGGGCGGGGCAGGGGUGCCCUCUGCCGCCAGAGCCGCGGAUGCGCGGGCGCCCGUCGCGGGGCGACCUGGAGAGGCUCCUGGGCUCCUCCAGGGGAGGGGAGGCCGGGGUCCCUGCAGGGCAGGCCUGGGGCGUUGGCCUAGGCCCUCAGUCCGCGUCGCCCCCGAGCUCCCCGGGGCGCUCCUGGAUAUGCACAGAGCGAACCCGGGAGCCUCUGGCCCAGCUGCAGAGGCGCAGUGCUCCCCGCGGGCGCGCGUCCUCCCCCGGGCCGCGUGGGGCCCAGUGUUUCUCAUCCUCGCUGGUUGCCGUGGUGUUGCUAUUCCAAGUGUUUCUAGCAAAAACAACAACAACAACAACAAAAAAAACCAACCACCAAUCUGUAAUAGUGUUUUCUAUAGAAUAUAAAGUGAUGGAGCUUACCUUUUGGUCCCUCCAGGCUCACCUGUGA
rnacentral:lncRNA from 1 species